UAGGAAAUCUUCGGCAAUGGACGAAAGUCUGACCGAGCAACGCCGCGUGAGUGAAGAAGGUUUUCGGAUCGUAAAACUCUGUUGGUAGAGAAGAGCGUUGGUGAGAGUGGAAAGCUCAUCAAGUGACGGUAACUACCCAGAAAGGGACGGCCAACUACGUGCUAG
rnacentral:rRNA from 1 species